rnacentral:rRNA from 1 species
UACGGAGGGUCCAAGCGUUAUCCGGAAUCAUUGGGUUUAAAGGGUGCGUAGGCGGUUCUUUAAGUCAGUGGUGAAAUACUGCAGCUCAACUGUAGCAUUGCCAUUGAUACUGCGGAACUUGAGUACUGAUGAGGUAGGCGGAAUUGACGGUGUAGCGGUGAAAUGCUUAGAUAUCGUCAAGAACACCGAUAGCGAAGGCAGCUUACCAAGCAGUAACUGACGCUGAGGCACGAAAGUGCGGGGAUCAAACAGG